ensembl:lncRNA
CUGAACGGCAAAACAGUUGUUUUCAUCAUGCCAGAUGGGAACUUCAUCUGUAAACCAUUGCUGGCUGGUGAUAAUAAUUUGAAACAUUUGGAAAUAAGAUAAUCCUGUUGACCAAAACGCCUAUUCAUUAGCUAAUAAUAAACCACCACCCAGCAAUCCAAGGAAGUUAAUGGAAAAACGAACGGUGUCUGGACGCAUUGCAAAAAGAGGCGGUGAAUGAAACUUGGCACGGGGAAAAAGAAAUUUGCUCAAAAGAAAUUAAUGUUUGAAAUGAAAACCACAAGAGUUGUGAAUGCUUACCUUUGUUUUCAAAUGUGCUACCCAAAUGGUGAACGUCAACUGUAACCUAAAGAAAUACACACAAAGAAAACCCCUAACAGUGAUUCAAAUCAGGCGACGGGGACGUAUCCGAAUUCCGUUUCUUUCCAAAAACACCUUUUAAAGGUUUUGUAACUUAAUUCCUUUCCAUGUACAACGUCCUUUUCUCUCAACUGAAAAUCAUCCAGCUUCUACACAAAAGCCAUGAGACGCAUCCCAUUCUCGUUUUCUGCAUCUGUUCUUUGCUGCCUGGGAGCCCCGCUGCGCGUGUGAAUUCGGACAUUCAUCGUAGAGGGGUGCGCAAGACAGUUAAACGGUUCACGGAGGGGGAAUGCUUUACUGAGACGUUAACAAUCACAGCACAAAUUCCACAAUGAGAGUCUAACUGUAAAUUAUAUCAUAUAAAUGAUAUGAUUUCCAUUUUCCAGUUGUACAGAAUCCAACAAGCUUGCGUUCUUAUUCUGUGGUCCCCCACAAAACACGUCGCCGGGUUCGGGACAAUUCUUUGCCCAGACUUUCCAAUGCACUAAAUCCCGUCUUACGGUUUGUAGCCUUUUUAGAUGUUCAGCCACCGCCUAUCCUUUGUUGUUCAUUUUUUUGUUGUCGUAUCAAAACGCUGGAUAACGUUCUGGAUAACGACGAUCCGUAUUCGUACUCCAAUUUUGAAUCCUCCUGACCUGCUUUCCAAGCCUAAAAUAAAUGGCCUC